rnacentral:rRNA from 1 species
AGUGAACGCUGGCGGUAGGCCUAACACAUGCAAGUCGAACGGCAGCACAGUAAGAGCUUGCUCUUACGGGUGGCGAGUGGCGGACGGGUGAGGAAUACAUCGGAAUCUACUUUUUCGUGGGGGAUAACGUAGGGAAACUUACGCUAAUACCGCAUGCGACCUACGGGUGAAAGCAGGGGAUCUUCGGACCUUGCGCGAUUGAAUGAGCCGAUGUCGGAUUAGCUAGUUGGCGGGGUAAAGGCCCACCAAGGCGACGAUCCGUAGCUGGUCUGAGAGGAUGAUCAGCCACACUGGAACUGAGACACGGUCCAGACUCCUACGGGAGGCAGCAGUGGGGAAUAUUGGACAAUGGGCGCAAGCCUAAUCCAGCCAUACCGCGUGGGUGAAGAAGGCCUUCGGGUUGUAAAGCCCUUUUGUUGGGAAAGAAAAGCAGCAGGUUAAUACCCCGCUGUUCUGACGGUACCCAAAGAAUAAGCACCGGCUAACUUCGUG